AUGAUGUUAAGGAACCAGAUUUCAAAUAAACAGAUCAUAGUUGAAGAGAAAUAUGAUUAUCUACCACAAGACAAUACGUUGACCGAUCAUGAUCUAUGUGCUCAUAUGGCAAUAGAAUCAUCUUUCAGAAAACAAUUGUUGGUUCAGAUCGAUGGAAGUUCUGUGUUACAAAAUCAGUUGAUGUGUCUGCUAGAUGAAAAAGAGUGGAUAAAUGAUAAUGUGAUCAAUGCAUAUAUAUGUUGUAUGAAGGAACAAAUACAUGUCCAGAAUGACAAUAAAGUAUAUUUGAAGAUAUGA
rnacentral:rRNA from 1 species